rnacentral:rRNA from 1 species
UACAGAGGGUGCAAGCGUUGUUCGGAAUUAUUGGGCGUAAGGCGCGUGUAGGCGGCUUUGCAAGUCGGGUGUGAAAGCCCUCAGCUCAACUGAGGAAGUGCGCCCGAAACUGCAGAGCUUGAGUGCCGGAGAGGGUGGCGGAAUUCCCCAAGUAGAGGUGAAAUUCGUAGAUAUGGGGAGGAACACCGGUGGCGAAGGCGGCCACCUGGACGGUAAUUGACGCUGAGACGCGAAAGCGUGGGGAGCAAACAGG